GCAGAAGUAAAUUACCUGGAGAAUAGAAGAAGGGAGAUGAAGGAAGAACCUCCCUAACACUCUGGCAAUGAGUGCAUUAACCUUAUUAUCAAUAUGUACAUCCCUGGAAAGAAUACUACCAAGACUGUUAUUAAAAGCACACUACAUGUUGAGACUGGAUUGCACAAAGAAGACAUCAGUAAAAGAAAAGUGGGCUACUGGCCAAGUCAACAGCAUGACAGACAAAUAAGCCUGGUAUGAGGAGAGGCUAACUGGCUGGACAUUUAUGUCUCAUCAAAUGAUGCAAAGGCCUAGAAAAAGGCAAUCCAGACGUAGGACAUUGGGUCUGAUUACCCUUCUGGGAGCAGAAAACACGAUUUCCUCGGGCGUGGAGGGAAGUAACAGCAAAUCAGAGACUGCUGCUUAGAGUCAAGCCUGCGCUCCACACCGGGCAGAGGAACGAUGCCUUCUUUGUCAGCCUUUGUCAGUCAGACAGUCAACAAGCGUUUAAUUAAUGCUUUCACAGCUAUGCUAAGCUCCGGACGUAUAAAGACAGGCCCUCGAGGACCUCACAUUCUAAUGAGGAAAGACAACAUGACGAUAAGUGUGUACAUUAUGCAUCUCUCUGUAGGUGUAUAUACGUAUAUAUGCAUACAUCCGCCCAUAUGUACGCAUAUACACACAAAUGGAGGGUAAUUUGGAGGUUGACAAGCUUCCUUUUACGUCAGAGCUCUUCUUCUCUUGAUCGUUCCAUCCCCUGGUCCUGGCUCCUGACACCUGGAUCCUCCUGGAAUGAUCCUUACUAUCCUAUCCAGUACCCAUUCUACUUUGUCUUCCGCCUUGACUUACCUGUCAUGGGGUGGGGAAUGGUGGAGUUGGAACACUCCUUGAUCCCCAUUACUGCUUUGAGAGUCUCCCUCUGCUGUUAUGCUCAGUAAAUUUCCUCCUGAGGUUCAUUCUAUCCCAUUUUUUCCCCCAGUCCAAAUCCUGGUGACUAUUAUAUGCUAACCCCCAGGAUAUUCUCCAGACAGUCUCACUGAGUUUAGAGUUUCCUUUCUCCACCUUUUGUUCUCACGAGAGAGAGAGAGAGAGAGA